rnacentral:rRNA from 1 species
AACGAACGCUGGCGGCGCGCCUAAUACAUGCAAGUCGAGCGAGAAGGUGUAGCAAUACACUUGUAAAGCGGCGAACGGGUGAGGAAUGCAUGGGUAACCUACCCUCGAGUGGGGAAUAACUAGCCGAAAGGUUAGCUAAUACCGCAUACGUUUCCGGAACUUCGGUUUCGGAAAGAAAGCAAUACCGUGGGUAUUGCGCUCCUGGAUGGGCUCAUGUCCUAUCAGCUUGUUGGUGAGGUAACGGCUCACCAAGGCUUCGACGGGUAGCUGGUCUGAGAGGACGAUCAGCCUCACUGGCACUGCGACACGGGCCAGACUCCUACGGGAGGCAGCAGUAAGGAAUAUUGCGCAAUGGACGAAAGUACUGACGCAGCGACGCCGCGUGGGGGAGUGAAGGUCUUCGGUUGUAGAGCACUU